rnacentral:rRNA from 1 species
UACGUAGGGACCGAGCGUUGUCCGGAUUCAUUGGGCGUAAAGAGCUCGUAGGCGGCUGCUCAAGUCGAAUGUGAAACCUCGAGGCUUAACCUCGAGCCUGCAUUCGAUACUGGGCGGCUAGAGUCUGGUAGGGGGAUCUGGAAUUCCUGGUGUAGCGGUGGAAUGCGCAGAUAUCAGGAGGAACACCGGUGGCGAAGGCGGCAUCCUGGACCAAUAUUGACGCUGAGGAGCGAAAGCUAGGGGAGCAAACGGG